rnacentral:misc_RNA from 1 species
UCGUAGGGCUUUUGUCCUGUCGAGAUAGCGUCCUUGCCUAUUUUUUGGAGUACCUUUUUGUUUCCUCAGCAGGCCUGCCUGCUACUGGGGACCCUUUAAACUCUUUGUAAAUACAGCAUCUGUCUGAAAAAACAAACAAAAAUCA